UAUGUUUGAAGUUAGAAGACGUGGAUGAAUUUUUAAAUAAAGAACUACCUGUAAAUUUGUUAAGUUACAAGUCGUAUAAAAUAUUUAAAAGAUUCGGAAUUUCUUCGGAGUACCUAAAAAUGAACCCAAUUAAGUGGAAUGAUAAUCUUGCAUACCAGUCGGCAAAAAGGACAAUAGAUUCGUUACAAAUCGUUAAUGAUACAGCUGAAAGGGGAGUAAAGCUUAUGGAGGAUUUCAACGAUAAAUUUUCUAAAAAUGAAAACCAAAAACAAUUUUUACUUCAAGUGGGUUAAAAAAAAUUAUAUCUGUAAUAAAUGUAAUUUUAUAUAACUUAUCUUAUUAUGUAUUUAAUUUUAGGUUAUUCAAAAAUACAGAAAAACAUAUAAAAAUUGUACAAGACAAGUUUUGAUUACACCAUUUGAAGAUAAAACUACUUAGUACUUAGAAAUACACCUUAAACUAUUUCGUUUAUUAUUACAUAAAUAUUAUUAAUAUUAUAUAUUGAAACCACAGUAAAAAAAUUAAAUUUUGUGAAAAAACCAAAAGAAUUAAUUUUUAAGAGGGAAAUAUUAGAUUUACG